rnacentral:rRNA from 1 species
GAGUUUGAUCCUGGCUCAGGAUAAACGCUGGCGGCGUGCCUAACACAUGCAAGUCGAACGUCCUGCGCAAGCAGGGAGUGGCGGACGGGUGAGGAACACGUGGAGUACCUGCCUUUCAGUGAGGAAUACCGGCGAGAAAUCGCCGACAAAACCGCAUACGCUUCUCACGAAGCAAAACCGCAAGGUGCUGGAAGAUAGCUCUGCGCCCGAUUAGCCAGUUGGUGGGGUAACGGCCUACCAAGGCGACGAUCGGUAGCUGGUCUGAGAGGACGAUCAGCCACACUGGGAUUGAGAACGGCCCAGACUCCUACGGGGGGCAGCAGUGAGGAAUUUUCGUCAAUGGGGGCAACCCUGAACGAGCAACGCCGCGUGCAGGAUGACACUUUUCGGAGCGUAAACUGCUUUUCUUGGGGACGAGAACGGACGGUACCCAAGGAAGAAGCCUCGGCUAACUACGUGCCAGCAGCCGCGGUAAUACGUAGGAGGCAAGCGUUGUCCGGAGUUACUGGGCGUAAAGCGCCCGCAGGCGGUCCAUCGCGUUUCUCGUGACAGCCCCCAGCUUAACUGGGGAUCCACGAGGAAAACGGGUGGACUUGAGGCCAUCAGAGGGAGACGGAAUUCCGGGUGGAGUGGUGAAAUACGUAGAUAUCCGGAGGAACACCAAUGGCGAAGGCAGUCUCCUGGGAUGGUCCUGACGCUGAGGGGCGAAAGCCAGGGGAGCGAACGGGAUUAGAUACCCCGGUAGUCCUGGCCGUAAACGAUGACCACUAGGCGUGGGAGGUAUCGACCCCUUCCGUGCCGCAGCUUACGCACUAAGUGGUCCGCCUGGGGAGUACGGUCGCAAGAUUAAAACUCAAAGGAAUUGACGGGGACCCGCACAAGCAGCGGAGCGUGUGGUUUAAUUCGAUGCAACGCGAAGCACCUUACCAGGGUUUGACAUGCACGCGCACCAUCCGUAACGGGAUGUGCCCGCAAGGGACGUGUGCACAGGUGCUGCAUGGCUGUCGUCAGCUCGUGUCGUGAGAUGUUGGGUUCAGUCCCGCAACGAGCGCAACCCCUAUGCCUAGUUGAAUGCUCUAGGCAGACUGCCGCGAUCAACGCGGAGGAAGGCGGGGAUGACGUCAAGUCAGCACGGCCCUUACACCCUGGGCGACACACACGCUACAAUGGUCGGGACAAUGAGUUGCCAACCCGCGAGGGGGAGCUAAUCUCCGCAAACCCGAUCUCAGUUCAGAUUGGAGGCUGCAACCCGCCUCCAUGAAGUUGGAGUUGCUAGUAACCGUGGGUCAGCACACCACGGUGAAUACGUUCCCGGGUCUUGUACACACCGCCCGUCACACCACGAAAGUCGGCAACACCUGAAGCCGCCAGGCUAACCCUUCGGGGAGGCACGCGUCGAGGGUGGGGUCGGUGAUUGGGGUGAAGUCGUAACAAGGUAGC